AUUGAACGCUGGCGGCAGGCUUAACACAUGCAAGUCGAGCGGAGAGAGGUAGCUUGCUACUGAUCUUAGCGGCGGACGGGUGAGUAAUGCUUAGGAAUCUGCCUAUUAGUGGGGGACAACAUUUCGAAAGGAAUGCUAAUACCGCACACGUCCUACGGGAGAAAGCAGGGGAUCUUCGGACCUUGCGCUAAUAGAUGAGCCUAAGUCGGAUUAGCUAGUUGGUGGGGUAAAGGCCUACCAAGGCGACGAUCUGUAGCGGGUCUGAGAGGAUGGUCCGCCACACUGGGACUGAGACACGGCCCAGACUCCUACGGGAGGCAGCAGUGGGGAAUAUUGGACAAUGGGCGCAGGCCUGAUCCAGCCAUGCCGCGUGUGUGAAGAAGGCCCUAUGGUUGUAAAGCACUUUAAGCGAGGAGGAGGCUACUUUAGUUAAUACCUAGAGAUAGUGGACGUUACUCGCAGAAUAAGCACCGGCUAACUCUGUGCCAGCAGCCGCAGUAA
rnacentral:rRNA from 1 species